AUAGUGGUUAUCGCUGAGCUGGGGAUGACUGUCUCGGCCUGAACCUCUGCUUGGGCCCUACCGCACCUAUCCUACACAGGCUUCCUUCCUUGUUGUCCUUCCCUGCCUAAGCCUUCCCUAGGAGCGAGCCGAGGGAGAGGUGGCGCUGGUGGUGGCGGUGGUGACGCGCUGAAGUACAUUGCUUUGAACGGACAGGUGUGGCCCGUAGCUCGAAGUGGGACACACCUCAGGGAGCGGCCAGCCCUCAGGUAAGCUCAGGUGUGGCUUGGCGAGGCGGGACCCCAACCAUCACCGCCAUAGAGGAAGGGUUUUUGUUUGUUUGUUAUUAUCUACUUAAACGAAGGUACUUUUAAAAUAGAUUCCCUUAUGAGAUCACUUGCUGAAAGGUCUCCUCCCUCCCUUUAAUCCCCUCGUCCCUACACCGCAGCGAGGGGGCGGGGGCGGGGAGAUGACCUGACCCGUGACCUGAUGUAUAAGGUAUUCCUGGUUUUCCUGAGAAUUAGCCAGCAGGAUAGAACACGCAGUAAUGGGUUUAAAUUAGAAAAGUGUAGAUUUAGGAGAGAUAUAGGCAAGCAUUGGUUUAGUAAUAGCGUGAUGGGGGAAUGGAAUAGACUCAGCAAUCACAUAGUUAGUGCAGGGACGAUAGCUUGUUUUAAGAGUAGACUGGAUAGCUACAUGGACGAGGAUGACAGGUGAGUGCAGGGACGAUAGCUUGUUUUAAGAGUAGACUGGAUAGCUACAUGGACGAGGAUGACAGGUGAGUGCAGGGACGAUAGCUUGUUUUAAGAGUAGACUGGAUAGCUACAUGGACGAGGAUGACAGGUGAGUGCAGGGACGAUAGCUUGUUUUAAGAGUAGACUGGAUAGCUACAUGGACGAGGAUGACAGGUGGCAGUGAGGUGUGGGUGCAGUAAGGUGACGGGGUACUGGAGCGUACGCCCGUGCCGAAGGUAAACGAGGAUCAAGCCUCUACCUGUAACCCCUCAAACUACACCUCACCCAUUAGGAGUAGUGGGGGGGGUUCUGGAGCUCACCUGUGUAGGCCCACCCGGUCUCUUGCAGUUUCCCUA